AAAACAUGUCCUUUAGAAUUUAAUUUAAGGUCUGACCUGCCCACUGAAUUAAAUGGCCGCAGUAUUUUAACUGUGCAAAGGUAGCAUAAUCAUUAGUCUUUUAAUUGAAGGCUUGUAUGAAUGGUUGGACGAAAUAUUAACUGUUUCAUAAAAAUUGAUUUAGAAUUUUAUUUUUUAGUUAAAAAGCUAAAAUUUUUUUAAAAGACGAGAAGACCCUAUAGAUCUUUAUAGUUUGUUUAUUAUAAUUAUUUAGAUAAUUUAAAUUAUAAUUGUAUAAACUAUUUUGUUGGGGUGACAUUAAAAUUUAAUUAACUUUUAAUAUAUUGUUACAUUGAUUUAUGAUAUAUUGAUCCAUUAUUAAUGAUUAAAAAAUUAAGUUACCUUAGGGAUAACAGCGUAAUUUUUUUGAAGAGUUCAUAUCGAUAAAAAAGAUUGCGACCUCGAUGUUGGAUUAAGAUAUAAUUUUGGGUGCAGCAAUUCAAUUAUUAAGUCUGUUCGACUUUUAAUUUCUUACAUGA
rnacentral:rRNA from 1 species